rnacentral:lncRNA from 1 species
UCUUCUCUCUUCCCAUCAUUGUCGAUAAGUUAAUAUUAUUAAAUCAUCAAUUGCAUCGUUCUUUUGCUGGGAGAUUGAACACUGAAAAUGAAGAAAUAUUCAGGAAUUCUAUGAUAAAUGUAUCAUAAUUGUAUUUAAAUUGUAUAAGAUACAUCAAUAUAUAAAAAGUAAUUGUAUCAUACUUGUAUCACAAUUGUAUAUAACUUGUAGAUGGUACAUUAAUAUCUAAAAUAAUACCCGAUACAAUACUAAUAAAUUAAUAUAUAUAUUAUCAUAUAUUUGUGAUAUAAACUGUGAAAUUCGUCACGAUCUCACGAUUGCUCAUAAUUCAAAUGCAAACUUGAUACAAUCCUGAAAGAAUUCUAACAUAAUUCUGAUACAAUUAUGAUACAAUUUAAAACCGACUCUAAAUUUAAACUGAUACAAUAUGGUAUUAUACUUGUAUUAAUAUUGUAUCAUGUGUUGUUUUAGGUACAAAAUCAUAAUACAAUUCUAAAUUACGAUACAACUUUGAUCUUCAUCUUUUUCAAGCUUCAAUUUCAAACAUCCACUUAGAAUCAACUCUAAACUUAAAUUAUAAUACAAUAUUGUAUUUGUCACACCUCAGCGAAAAGGGGCGUAAAGGAGUAUUUCCACUUAAAGGACAAUCGGAACGGGAUUUGAUUAUUAUUUAUUCAGAGUCGCCACUUGGGAGAUUUAUGGUGUCCCAAGUCACCGAUUUGAAUCCCGAACCGAGGAAGAUUAUGACUCUGUUACUUAUUCAGAGUCGCUACUUGGGAGAUAUAUGGUGUCCCAAGUCACCGAUUUGAAUCCCGAACCGAGAAAGAUUAUGAAUCUGUUACAGUCUGCGAACCACAAAUCUAAGUAAGGAACUUUGUUAACCCGGGAGAAUGUGUUAGGCAUUCCCGGAUUCCGUGGUUCUAGUACGGUCGCUUAAUUGUUAUAUUUGAUUUUAUCUCAUUUUUAGUACAUGCUAACUUAUGUUCUCUUUUAUUUAUAUACUGCUUUUACCAUUAUUUAUUUUAAAAUACUUGCGACAUCGUGAAAACGUAUUUCUAAUCACGUCACUACCAGUGUGCACGUGAUCGUCGACACGUUUUGACUUCGUCGAGAUUUGGAUUUGGGUUGCAUCAAUGCACACCCGAAUUUAGGAAGGUACUUUAAUUAAAACGCGUCUAAAGAUUCUAUCGCAUUAUUAUCUUUUGGGAGGAUCGUGAAAUUCGCUAAACGGCCCUUCCCGAUUCUCUAAGUAUUUUUAAAACUUUAUUGAGGGCCCUGUAUUGUAUUUUUGUUGGCGAAGCUCGUCUCAUUUUAUUUUAAAAGCAAACCUAAAAGCAAUUAUAAUUUUUUACUUUUAUUUGUCUUUAAUAAUAAAGAAAAGAAGCCCUAACUAAUUAUUUUGUUUAAGAAUUACUACGUCUAGGUCCACAACUCAAACAGCCCGCGUGAGGAUCAUAGCCUAUCGGAAGAAGAAUGAAGUACCUAAUCUAAAUUUCAUAUUCAUCCCUAUGACCUAUUCAGACAAGUAACAAUUUUAACAAAAUAAAGGUUAACUAAAAAAAGUGAAAAUCGAUUUUCGAACCAGUACAUUAAAAUAUUCACACAUCAAUGAAAAAUGAGAUCUGAAAUUACAAAUGGACAAAGUUGGAAUAUAACUUUAAAUAAAGCAAGGAAAUCUGAAACAUAGGACCACAAUUAAACUACUGGAAUAAGAAAAAAACGGCACCAACUCUCAUUUUAAUAUAGAAAACCAAAAGCAACUUUUUAGCAAUUUUAAAAUCAAUUCAAUGAAUUCCAUGGAUUAAUGAAGCACAUAUUUGAAAGCUUAAAGGAACAGAGGUUAUAAACAUCACCUCAGCAAAACUGGAAGCAAACAAAUACCCGAGGACAAGAAGAUCAACACGAAAUAACAGUAAUCAAAAAGAAGAACGGACCACACCCCUUGAAAAUAUUCAAUAAAAUCAGAAUGACGACGAAUGAGAACCUCGAACGGAAAAUGAAGCGCUUCGUCGGAGUCUCAACGAAACUCGACCAAACUGCUUUGAACUCGGCUAUAACGGACGCCUUAACUCAGAAGUUACGAAGCAGAGAAGCAGAAAUUGAAACGGCGAUGCUGCUGGUAUUUUCAGCUGUUGAGAAUUGAAAAUUUUGUUUUAUUAUUUUUAGCUGUUUGUUUGAGUUCUCAAUCCCUUCUGAGUGCUGUUCAAUUUCCGAUUUAUAUUUCCAUGCGUGUGUGCUUUGAUUAUGGAGAGUAAGAUGAGAGUGAGCAAGGGAGGAGAAAGGAAUGACGAUGCCUUCAGAGGUGCUCGUUUUUUUUUUGGUUUUUUUAGAGAAAAAUUUCAGAAGCAAAAGAGAGAUCCCUUUUUUGGCGUUAUUUUUUGUGUUUGCUUCCGUCCAUUCUUUUUUUGUAAUUUUUUGGGUCGUUUUUCUUUUGUAAUUUUUCGUGUCCUCUCUUUAAUUUGUGAGGCAAAUGGUUUUUAUAGAGAGUGUGGGAUGGGGUGUUAUGUGAGAGAGUUUUAUUUGAGGAUGAGGUGUUAUGUGAGGAAUGUUUUCGAGGGGAAGGUUUUAGGUAGAGGAAUAUUUUGGGGAAAGAUCUUAGGUGGGUAGAAAUGAUGAUUUUAUAUAAGUAAAAAGAUAGACAUAAUUUUUCGUGAAAAAAG